CAGCAGCCACGGUAAUACGGAGGGAGCUAGCGUUGUUCGGAAUUACUGGGCGUAAAGCGCACGUAGGCGGCUUUGUAAGUUAGAGGUGAAAGCCCGGGGCUCAACUCCGGAACUGCCUUUAAGACCGCAUCGCUUGAAUCAUGGAGAGGCGGGUGGAAUUCCGAGUGUAGAGGUGAAAUUCGUAGAUAUUCGGAAGAACACCAGUGGCGAAGGCGGCCCGCUGGACAUGUAUUGACGCUGAGGUGCGAAAGCGUGGGGAGCAAACAGGAUUAGAUACCCCUGUAGUCCCUGUCUCUUAUAC
rnacentral:rRNA from 1 species